rnacentral:tRNA from 1 species
GCCGACGUAGCUCAGUGGUAGAGCAACUGCAUGGUAAGCAGUAGGUCGCCAGUUCAAUCCUGGCCGUCGGCU